AGAGUUUGAUCCUGGCUCAGGACGAACGCUGGCGGUGCGCCUUAUGCAUGCAAGUCGAGCGAAGCUUUUCAGUAGUUUACUACAGAAAAUGACUGAGCGGCGAACGGGUGAGUAACGCGUGAGCAAUCUACCUUAGUUACAGGGAUAGCCCGAGGAAACUCGGAUUAAUACCUGAUAUUCUUUAUUUCUCGCUUGAGAAUAAAAGGAAAGGUCAGCCGAACUAAGAUGAGCUCGCGUUCUAUCAGCUAGUUGGUGAGGUGAAAGCUUACCAAGGCUACGACGGAUAGCUGGUCUGAGAGGACGAUCAGCCACACUGGGACUGAGACACGGCCCAGACUCCUACGGGAGGCUGCAGCAGGGAAUAUUGUGCAAUGAACGAAAGUUUGACACAGCGACACCGCGUGUGGGAUGACGGAUCUAGGUUUGUAAACCACUUUCAGGAGGGAAGAAAAUGACGGUACCUCCAUAAGAAGCCCCGGCCAACUACGUGCCAGCAGCCGCGGUAAUACGUAGGGGGCGAGCGUUGUCCGGAUUUAUUGGGCGUAAAGAGCUCGUAGGCGGUUCAACAAGUCGGUCGUGAAGGUUCAGGGCUCAACCCUGAAAUGUCGAUCGAUACUGUUGUGACUAGGAUACGGUAGAGGUGAGUGGAAUUCCGAGUGUAGCGGUGAAAUGCGUAGAUAUUCGGAGGAACACCAAUUGCGAAGGCAGCUCACUGGGCCGCUAUCGACGCUGAGGAGCGAAAGCUAGGGGAGCAAACAGGAUUAGAUACCCUGGUAGUCCUAGCUGUAAACGAUGGAUACUAGACGUAGGAACUGGAUUGACGGUUUCUGUGUCGCAGCUAACGCGUUAAGUAUCCCGCCUGGGGAGUACGGUCGCAAGACUAAAACUCAAAGGAAUUGACGG
rnacentral:rRNA from 1 species